rnacentral:lncRNA from 1 species
GUUUCUCUGGAAAACAACACUGUGGUCCAAAUAACAUCUUUACAUCUCUAUCAAGUAUUAUAGCUACACUGGUUGGUGAGUGUCCUCCUGAAAAGUUGGUGCAUGUUGUUGAGAAGCUUCAGUGCCGUGCUCAUGGUGAAGAUGGAGUUGCACCUUUUUAAAUUUGAUGUGAUCUUGUUUCAGCUACUCUAGAACUUCCUUUGCAUCUUUUUAAAAGUAGUUUUAGAAGAAAGUUUUACUCUAUAGUUAUGUGAUGUUUUAAUGUCUAAAAUAUUAGUUAUUAUUUGACUGUAAACCAAACGCUUUUUUAUUUUGGUUUGUAAACAAA